UACAAGUAACAUUUGUUUAAUCGUACACUUUUGAAUAGAUGGACAGCAAGAAUAAGCUGGUAGGCAGUAUCAGAGGAACUCCAGUGGAUGCUGGAUUUGCUUCUGCCGUUCCAGUUGAUUCUUCCUCUACUCCUGUUUAAAAGCAACAAGGUGAUGCUCUUUGGUUGUAUUGGAAUGCUAUGAGCACGGAUGAAAAGAAAGAGUUGCUUACAGUCAAGGUUUACUGACUUCGAGGAUCUUUUUGGGUCUUCAAAAGUUGAUUUUAUUGACGAGUUUAUAACAGUGUCUUUGGUGUUUACGGGGACUCUUGGAACGUGGAUUUCAUUUGUUUGUUGCAAAUGCCAAGAGAAGUUUGGGGAUUCGGACUCUCAUAAGCAACAUGCUCUAACAGAGCAUUUGGAUAACCACUCGAAAGAAAUGCAGGCUGGUUUGCCGGAAAGCAUUGCUGAUGCUUUGGAUAAGAUGAUUUAUAGCCACUCUUGGAAACAUGUUUCCGCAGCAUUCAACAUGCCUGAGAAUCAAUCACAAUAUCAGGAUGUUUGAGACAACAGCCCUGUGCCAUACUCUUCAACUAUUAACUGGUUGACAUCUGAGGACCCUGAGCAUAUAGAGCUCCUGAAGAAAAUUCAACAAAGGUUUGAGGAGUUGAUAAGGCGUAAUUUCUUGCU